rnacentral:lncRNA from 1 species
GACAUCUAAAGAUGAUUUGAAUCCUAUGGGACCAUGCCCAGGUUAUGUGCAAAUACUGUGCUGCUUUAUAUUAGGGACUUGAGCACCCACGGAUGUUGGCACUGAUGAGGAGUUCUGGAGCCCAGGAAUGACUGUCUAGUUAAAUGCCUUCAUACAUGAGCAGCGAGGUCUAGCUGCCAUUCCCCAGGAGCAGGCCAAAGAGUAUUUUGAGCAGCGCCUUCGAAGAGACGCUGGAGCCCCAAGGCCAAAGCUGACUCUUUGGCUCGGUCCGAAUGGCGCUGUCAUGCUGAGAGUGGCCACUAGAGGGGGGCCGUGUUCCAGACCCUGGCGGGCAGCCUGCGCGCUGCUCCUUGGAGCUUCUAUAAAGAGCGCCUGCGGGAGCUGCUGCCCUGCACUCAGUCAGAACCUCCCAGGACGCCGCUGCCUCCACGCGAUAUUUCCGGGUCGCUGCCCGCGGCUGACUGGGACGAAGCACCUCGCCGGGGCGUCCCAGGUGCAGACCUCCACGCACCUGGCCACCCGCUAGAGUCUCGCCUCCCAGCCUGGUCCUCCCGCACGGCCCUGGUCUGGUAAAGUCACCGGGCGCCCUGCAGCCCUCCUUUGACUCGGUCUGGACUUGGCUGGCGGUGGGGACAGACUCUGAGGGGCUGCCCGGGUCUCAGCGCGACGGCGGCCGGCUCUCCGACCACCGCAGCGAAUGCUGGAAACUGAGCGCCAGGCUCUGUGGCCUCAGCGGGGGCGUCAGGACCUGAUGGAGAACAAAGCCAUGUACCUGCACACUGUGAGCGACCGCGACACCAGCUCCGUCUUCGAGGAGCCCUUUGAUGGCCGGAGCCUGUCCAAGCUGAACCUGUGUGAGGACGGUCCGUGCCACAAACGGCGGGCGAGUGGGUGCUGUACCCAGCUUGGCUCGCUGUCAGCUCUGAAGCAUGCUGUCGUGGGCCUCUACCUGCUGGUCCUCCUGAUUCUCGUGGGCAUCUUCAUUUUAGCAGUGUCCAGACCGCGCAGCUCCCCCGAGGACCUGAAGGUGCUGACUCGCAACGUGAACCGGCUGAACGAGAGCUUCCGGGACUUGCAACUGCACCUGCUGCAGGCCCCGCUGCAGGCCGACCUGACCGAGCAGGUGUGGAAAGUGCAGGAUGCGCUGCAGAACCAGUCAGACUCGCUGCUGGCGCUGGCGGGCGCGGUGCAGCGGCUGGAGGGCGCGCUGUGGGGGCUGCAGGAGCAGGCGACACAGACGGAGCAGGCGGUGGCCCUGCUGCGCGACCGCCUGGGCCAGCAGAGCGACGCGGCGCAGC